UUUUUAUUUAUUUUAUUUAUUUAGAUCUUGUUUUCCUUCAUUUUCGUUCGUUCUUCUCCUACCUCUCUGGAUUUCUUGUUUUCUUAUUUCUCAAAUUUCUCUCUUUCUUUACAAAAAUGGCUAACACCACCACAACCACCACCAGCCUCAGCAACAGCGAGGAAUCGAGUCCUCUCUUGAACAAGAACCUCCAAGAACAUGACGAGGAACCCACUAAGAUUUCCGACACCAAAGUCGCCGCACCUCCCAUGGAGAAGAAGAA
rnacentral:misc_RNA from 1 species